CCUACGGGUGGCAGCAGUGGGGAAUAUUGCGCAAUGGGCGAAAGCCUGACGCAGCGACGCCGCGUGAAGGAUGAAGGUCUUCGGAUCGUAAACCUCUUUCAGUAGGGAAGAAAGGUCACUGUGCUAUUCAGCAGUGAAUUGACGGUACCUGCAAAGGAAGCACCGGCUAACUCCGUGCCAGCAGCCGCGGUAAUACGGAGGGUGCGAGCGUUAAUCGGAAUUACUGGGCGUAAAGCGCUCGUAGGCGGUAUGUCAAGUCAAGGGUGAAAGCCCCGGGCUCAACGGGGGAACUGCAUUUGAAACUGGCAAACUGGAGUGUGUUAGAGGAUAGUGGAAUUCCAGGUGUAGGAGUGAAAUCCGUAGAUAUCUGGAGGAACAUCAGUGGCGAAGGCGACUAUCUGGCACAUAACUGACGCUGAGGAGCGAAAGCGUGGGUAGCAAACAGGAUUAGAUACCCCAGUAGUC
rnacentral:rRNA from 1 species